AAUCAGAUAAUCUGGAUUUUAUCUAACAGUGUAGAUAGGACCAAAGUCUCUUCUGUGACAUUCAUGAAAAGAUACUGGACUGGAAGAAACGAAACAAAUUCUUCAACCCACUUUAUAGAUAUCAAUUAGUUUUAGGCUGUGUCUACAUUGUUAUAUACUCCAGAUUAUCAAAGCAGAUAAUACGGUUUUUAUAUGGCAGUGUAGAUGGAGCCCCAGUAGCCUGUAUGUUGGAAAGGAAGACUCAAGUGAUUAUUUUUUCUUCCCUGACCAGUCACUUCUGUGGGCCUGUUUAUAAGUAAGAUUCACCAUUAUGUACCUAUCUGUGUUCCUUUUCCUUGCCUCAACACACAGUUUUUAUUUUAGUACCCCACUUCUCAUUUGGGAGUUAAAACUAAUAAACCUGGAAGAUGAUGUAUUAUGUCAGUAUUUAGGGCAGUCUAACAUAGAGAAGUGUAAAGGAACCCAAGCGUCUGCAUAGGUCCUGCUGCACUUUUUCCCCAUGAGACUAUAAUACACUGAUCAUAAUCGGAGCUUGGAAAAGGUAUUUCUUUUGGAAUAUACCUCCCCAACCAACAUGGCCACUAGUUACGUUAACUAAGGUAUGCAAGAACUGUUGUAUAAAAUAAAUAAAUAAAUCGUAAGAAAAAAUUUAAAAAUCCAAGUUUACCCCUUAAGUCAUUAGGUUUUAAUACAGUACAAUCCCAUAUCCACAGGGAGUAUAUUCCUAGAUUUUGCAUGAAUACACACAUCUGCAAAUAAUAGCAAACCCUAUUGAAAUGGAGGAUUUCUGACCCAAGAGAGGGCGUAUUUUGGGAAAAUAUGUGGGUUGCACUGUCCUAAUUCCAUUUAGAAUAAUAAAAUGAUAAGAGUUGGAAGAGACCACGUGGGCCAUCUAGUCCAAUUCCCUGCCAUGCAGGAAAAGUACCAUCAAAGCAUCCCUGAUGGAAUUUUUCCUUGUGCUCCUCCUGAUGCCUUAACUCAAACAAACCAUUGGGAUAUUGGAAAUAAAUUCCCAUUCUUUGAUUCUCACCCUGUUGUGGCCAACAAAUAUGGAAGUUUCAGGUAUUCACAGGAAAGUCAGACCACAAGUCCAUUAGAUGUGAUGUUAAUGGCUCUGACUGGUACAAUGGCUCUCUGAGGUUCCAGUGGGCCCUUGAUUAAUAAUAAUAAUAAUAAUAAUAAUAAUAAUAAUAAUAAUAAUAAUAUAGUUUGUUUAUAUUCUGCUCUAUCUCCUUGAGGGCACUUAGAGUGGAUUACAGAACACGUAUAUGGCAAAUGUUCAGUGCUGUUAUACAAUUAACAAGGACAGACAAUACAUUAAACAGAAGUAAAGACUUUUCCCAUCUUUUCCAUUUCCAGCAUCUGGAGGAUGUGCUCGACUCCGGCCAUGUGUGUGUGUGUGUGCUGUCACUUCAUCUUCCAUGCCAAGGAGCUUUGUCGUUCUUAGACGUCCUCCCAAUCGAAUUGCUGGCAUGUUCUUAUGGGUGCCUUUUAUUACUUAAAGCAGUACCUAUUUACCUACUCACAUUUCUGUUUUCUAUCUGCUAGGUGGGCAGGGAGCUCGGGCUGAUGGUGGGUGCUUACCCCGACCCGGGCUUGAACUAACAACCUUUUGAUUGACAGAAUUUUCUGCAGCUUAGCAGUUUAAUCCGUUGUGCUAAGCCCAGCUCCAGUUGGGGUUUGGUUUCAGGACUCUCCAUGAAUACCAAAACCCGUGAAUGCUCAAGCCUCGUUAUAUACAAGAGCAUAAUAAAAUGUUGUCCCUUAUGUAAAAUAGAAAAAUCAAGGUUUUCCUUUUGGAGUUAUUUGCGGGGUGGUGGUGGUAAUAUUUCCAAGCUUUGGUGGGUUCUGAAUCUGCGGAUAUGGAGGGCUGACUAUACUAACUAGGCCCAACCUUCCAAAAUCAUAUGGGAUUAGAUGCUGCUUUGGUUUAACAGCCUGGUCCAUGUGAAUACAUUCAGUCACGUGGAAAAUAAUGGGGCCAUGUGGAUCCAGACCAGCAAUUGUAAUGAAUAUUUUAUUCCAACUUUGAGUCAGCUUCUUGUGUUGCAAAUAUCUCCUUUUAAUUUAAUUCCUUUCAUUUUAGAGAAGAGUCAUCUGUUCAUCUCUUUCCCAAAUUAUUUUUUAUGCUGAAAAUUGUAUGUGUGAGAAAGAGGAAAUGAAACACUCUUUCAGAUAGGAAGCUUUUAUUAAAAAGGAGCAAAACGACGACUGGUGUGCAAGUAUACGGUACAGCAGCUACCCUUCUUUGGCAAAAUAAAUCUCAACUGAUAGGGAAACUUAAUUACAUUUAGCAUUCUGCCUGGACUGAGCUUGUCUCAGGAAGGAUCUGAAAAUUUUGGUAACUAUACCGUUGCGCAGAUGGUCUUUAUUAAGGCAAGGGGAGAUUAAAUUUCAGGCCAUGUCACGAUGUUGCUGAUAUACAGGUACGUGUGCUGCAGUCUAAUGAGGCCUCUUAACCCAAAGCUGAUAGGAUGCUUUGGUUUGCAUCCAUAAUGGAAAUAAUUAAAAGCUCCACACUCUUGGGAGUUAAAAAAACAUUUAUUUUUUUAAAAAAAUUGCAAGCAUCUGGGUUUUUAAAAGUUUAAUUUAAUAUCCUUUGAUGUUUAUCAUAGCCUAAAGUGUGCCUUCUUGGGCCACUUGCUCUUACUAAUAUAAUUUCCCAACCUUUCUAAUUUAAUUUCUUUCAAUCACCUUUUUUCCUACCCCUGGGCUGUUUGAGUAGGCUUUUCACUCUGUUUUGGUUGAAUGGACAGAAAUGACAAAAAGAGACACUUCAUACUUAGUAUGUUUGCAAUAAAAAGUAGUGCAUAUUUCUGGUAUUAAGAACAUACCCUUGUGCAUAUUUUCAAUUUGGGUAAGGCCAAAAGAACAACAAAACACCCUGGAAAAGAAAACUGGGUGACUUGGAAGCCGCUGAACAGACUAUGCUCUGGGACCACAAGAUGCAGAACCAACCUUAAGAAAUGGGGCUACAAAGUGGAGUCCACGACAUGUGAGAGUGGAGAAGAGCAAACCACAGACCACCUAUUACAAUGCAGUCUGAGCCCUGAUACAUGCACAAUGGAGGACCUUCUUAUAGCAACAUCAGAGGCACUCCAAGUGGCCAGCUAUUUAGGGAGGAGGGAGCAAGCUUGUUUUCUGCUGCCCUGGAGACUAGGACGUGGAACAAUGGCUUCAAACUACAGGAAAGGAGAUUCCACCCAAACAUGAGGAAGAACUUCCUCACUGUGAAAGCUGUUCGGCAGUGGAACUCUCUCCCAUGGACUAUAAUGGAGGCUCCUUCUUUGGAGGCUUUUAAGCAGAGGCUGGAUGGCUUUCCUACUUCUUGAUAGGGGGUUGGACUGGAUGGCUCACGAGGUCUCUUCCAACUCUAUGAUUCUAUGAUUCCAGAAUGAGAAAUGACGGCUUAUUGGGCUUGUGAUCUUGGAUAUUUACGGUUGAGCUCUUCUUUUUUGCAACUAGAGAAAGGCUUACCCUGAUUCUAGUAAUGGCUAUUAGAGAUGGGAAGUCACAAAGAAUGGGAGACUCUUCCAUAGUCAUUGAAAAAACUAAUUGAAAUUAGAUGUUUGCCCUGUUACUCUUUAAAUAUCACAAAGGUGAUCUCUGUGUUAAUGUGUUAGCACUGGAGAGUGGAAAAUCCUGUAUGGGGAAUUACUUCUUUUUUCAUUCAUGGAUGCAUCUAUUUGCAAACCAUGCCCUUCUACAGGAUUACAAUGGUAGCGGAUGGGUUUUGCUAUACACUAUUGAAUACAGUUAUGCAAAUGAAACUUGUCCUGUUAUUGACUGUACCUUUUGGACUUGAGUGAAGCUAUUUUGGAUGCACUUAAAACUGAAGUUGCUUGUAUGUAGUAGCUGAUUGAAAGUGACAGUCAAUUUACUUUUUGCUUCAUUCUCUAUUCACUCUUAUGUGUCUAUUCUCUCAACUUGGAAAAUAUAUCCUCCAUCAAAGUACAGUAUCCAGCCUCUGCUUGACUUCUUUUGAACAUUGUGUGCUAAUCUGUCAACUACAGGGAAAUUUGAAAAUCUCAUAAUUACCUCCUUCACAUUCCCAUGCAACAAGUAUCUUGUCAUUACUCUGGUGCUUUAGUUUACGAUAUUCCUGCUCUUGCUGUCAAAAAAGAGGGAUAGAAAUAGUCUGAUAGCUCCAUUUGCACUACUUCCUUGGUAUCUAGAAAUCAGUGAAUUAUUACAGUUUGAUGAUGUAAUAAAAGAGAAGAGUUUUAUGAGGAAGGCCAUGCCUCACCAUAACAUCCUGCAAUUUGCUCCUUGUAGCUUCUCAGCUUAAUUGGAUCGGAGUGUCAAGACUAAGUAGCUUUCACCCAUGUGGUUUCAUUUCAGCAUGCAGGACCCCUUUGUUUGCUGGUUACAUAAAUUAUUCAAGAAGCUCUCUUUGCAGAAAUGUUUACUGUCUUGAUGGUUUCUGCAGAGCAAAGGGUGCAACAUGCUUCUCUUAACCACUUUCAAUUAAAGGAUGGGUCUGUGGCUUCAGUCAUUCAGCUACUGUAGCUCUGGAAUACAUGCCAGAAGAGGCUGAAAUCGGGUCCUAGAGCUUAGUUCUUAUCCCUAGUUCCCAGUUGGUCAUGAAGGUGCUUAACAUGGAGCAGGCAAGGCUUGAUAACCAGUGGUCCCAUACAUGUUAUUUCAUUGCAGUUCCCAUGAACCCCAGACAGCUUGGCCAGUGGUGAAGGAUGAGAGACUGUCCUUGCACUUUUGUCCUGAAUAAGGAAUUUGACAUUAGGAUUGAGAUAGUAGGAACUAGUUACCAGAUUCAGCUUUGUUGCAUUUAUGUGGCCAGAAUAUUUGUAAACUGAACAUAUAAAGGGAAAUAGACUUGUGCUCACUGUCUUUGCUCCAAUCUCCAAAUGUUGUCAGUGGCUAGUCAUCUAGCCGGGCUGGUAUUUAUGCAAAAUGUUGGGAACCCCCCAAUUGUGCAGUAUGGAUUCCCACCGUAUUGCAUAAGUGUCAUGUGUCAUUGGUCCAGAGAGUUCAACCAACUGUUUUCUGGUUUUUUGUUUUUGUGUUUGUCAGGAGCGACUUGAGAAACUGCAAGUUGCUUCUGGUGUGAGAGAAUUGGCUGUUUGCAAGGAUGUUGUUCAGGGGACGCCUGAAUGUUUUGAUGUUUUACCAUCUUUGUGGGAGGCUUCUCUCAUGUCCCCGCAUGAAGCUGGAGCUGACAGAGGGAGCUGAACCACACUCUCCCCGGGUUGGAUUUGAACCUUCAGGUCAGCAACCCAGCCUUCAAGUCAGCAGUCUGCCGGCACUAGGGUUUAACCUAUUGUGCCACCAGGGGUUCUGUUUUCUGGUUGUGGCAGGCAUAGCUCCUAUUUGAUGCUUUGUUCAGAGGACAGCAAGAUGUCCUCAGCAGGCUCUCAGAAGGCCAGAAUAGUGCAAUGUUCUGGAGGAUCCUCUGGACAAGGCAUCAGUGAGCUCCCUGAUUCCUCUCUCUGGACACCUCUCACAGAGGGACAUCAACAGGAUCUUCAGAAAGCCAGGCCAGGCCCCAAAUGCCUUGUUUUGGCAUACUUAUUCAGAACAAAUUGUGGAAGAGGCUGCAGUGGAGUCUGGCUGUCCUUGCAAGAACUAGAAUUGAACUGAGAUGCCCCGAUGCAUAUGUUGAUUCCCGUGGUUUUGUCAAUUAAAUUAUGUCCUUUCUUCUCUAGAAAUAGUAAUUAUUAUUUGCAGAGAAGAAAGGACAUGUAUUUUCUUCAGCAUUGUAGGCACGUUUUAAAAAGCCACCUAAAGCCUUGAUGACGUUUUGAGAUGUAAUGGAGAAAAGAUGAAAGCAAUGAUCUUAGUCUGCUCACUGGAUAUAAAUUCUUGUAUACAUAAAAUAAUAAAUGAAACAAAUGCAAUUAGAAGAUACAAAAGAUGUUUCUCUGCUAGAGUUUGGCUUUGUACAUAGUAUAUUUCUUUGUAGAUGUCGGCUUGCAUUAAGUAUUUCGGGGGGGGGGGGAUGUGUUGGAGAACAAAUUCAUGGACAAGCUUAAAGCCCCUUCUACACAGCCAUGUAAAAUCCAGAUUAUCUGCUUUGAACUGGAUUAUAUGGCAGUUUAAACUAGUAUAAUCCAGCUCAAAACUGAUAAUGUAGAUUAUCUGCUUUGAUCAUUUGGAUUAUAUGGAAGAAGGGACCUGAGUAAUCUCAUAGCUUGGUUCGCCGAAAAGGAGGAACCUUAUAGCACCAUGACUAUUUUGCAUUUUUGAACCUCUCAGGGAAGAUGAUGACAGCAGACUGCAAAGAAAUAAAGUUGGCAUGGAAUUAGAGGGUUUUUUUACCUAGAAGUGAACAGUUUUUCUUUAUCAUAUAGGACAGUGGUUCCCAAACUUAUUUGGCCUGCCGCCCCCCUUCCAGAAAAAAUAUGACUCAGCACCCCCUGGAAAGGGGGAUGUGGCUUAGAGGGGUGGGCGUGGCUCCUGCUUAUGAGGGCGGGGCUGAGCCUCUCCCCUAGUCCAAGAUGCAGGGCUGCGAGGGGAGGUGGGCGGGGCAACAAAUGGGCAGCCAGGACUGGGAUGGGCGGAGUUACAAGCUCUGAGGCAGGGCUGAGCUUCUAUGCCUGUCCUGCAGCGCCUGCCAGAACACAGGAGGCGGGGCUAGAGGAGGGGGCGGGGCCUCUUCCCAAGUGCCUGAUGGAGAUGGACCUCUAUACCCCACCCCCGAGUUAUUUGUCAUCAGCACAUACCUCUAUUCCCUUUGUCACAAUCAAAAUAUAUCUAAUCUCAGUUCUGUCCAUGGUAGCCCACCUGUUUCAUUCCAGUCCCCACUGAAUAAUUGUUCUGCCUCAUCUAUUGACUACCGCCAAUUAGGCUUUUGGUUUUGGCUCCUGCGUUUUUGAAGAAUUGAGACUGUUUCAUAAAAAGAUACAAUUUCUGUGAACCCUCAGAGUAGAAAAUGCUGAACUGAGGACUCAAAGGGACUUGGCUGAUUUCCUUCUGGAGAUUUGCUUUUCCCUGAUGGGAAACAAUUAACAAAGCUCUGUCAUCUUUUAUCUUCGUAUUUCAUGGUCUUAUAAAUUAGGUAGAUGAAGAAGGCAAAUAGGAGAACUUGGUACCACCGUUGUAGAUUAAACAGAGCAUUCUUUUCUAUAACAGUAUUUGUGCUUGAAAUAUUCAUUAGUGCAACUUUCUGCUUUUUUAGAAUAAGAGUUAUUCUUUCGUUAAUUAUUUUUUCUUUAUGAAUGCCCCAUAUUAUUAUCCCCUCAUGUCUUUGUUUUUAAUUCAUCACAACCUUGAAUGUCUCUUUACUUUUGCAUUCACUGUGUAGACUUUUAUAUUAAACUCUGUUUUCCAGCUUUAAUAAAAUAGCCUUAACAUAUUAGACUGCAACUUGGAAUGAGAUACUGUAACUUCUCCUAACCUGAGACUUCCCAAAAGGCUUCCUCAUAAUAUAGGUAUAUGAAAACAUGCUAAGUAGAGUAUAUUCAGUUUCUUUUCCUACCCUGACAAAACGUGUAUUUACCAGCAAAGGGAAUUUUCUGUUCUUGGAGCAGAUAACUCAUUAAAAUAGAGAUAAUACCUCAAGUUAUAUGUAUAUUUUUGUAACUGAGGUCAGAAAUUAUUUCCUUCUAAUUGGCAUUGAAACUGGUGCCUCACACUUUCUGGCAGCCUUGGCUGUGUGUUUUUCUCUUCCUGUUGGGCAAUUAAAGUUCUUGUUUCUGCCGCAGGGUUAUAAACUAAUGGCCUCGAGUAAUGUGUGGUUGUCAGAGACACAGCUUUUACUUUUCAGUCACAGGGAUCAAACUGCAACUUUUAGUAUCCCCAGCCAACAUAUUUGAUGCACCUUGCUGGUUAAGGAUUAAGACGGUUGUAGUCAAGAACAUCUAGAGAGCCCCAGGUUUGGGAAGACUUUUAAAAAAAAUAAAGGGCUCUUUUCGUGCACCCUGUUGUCCAUGUUUGUGUUUUUCUUCAUACUCAUAGAAAAGAAUCCCAGGUGAAUUUGAAACUUGCCAUAUUCAUGUUGGAUGUGUUAAAUUUCAGCACAAAGCAUGAUACACCUUGCAUUGUUUACUUGGGUACUUGAUUCAAGAAAGCUUGGCAGACUUAUUUCCUAGGUAACCACAGCUCAGUCAUAGAUCUGUGAAGUCACAAAUGAAAAAUCUAUAGGAGUCAGGUUAAGGUUGGCUGUACGUAGUUUAUGGACAAUCUCUACCCCUGGUUGAAUGAGAAAAUUUUGAGUUGAUGAAUGAUUGCUAGGGAUGCCUUGAGUGCCUAAGAUCUAUUUGUGUCUCUCAUUACUUUUUGAGGAUGGUUGCAUGGUUUAGUUCCCUCUAUGUAUUAAGAAUGCAUGAUGUUGUUGAGAGUGUAUGACCUUAUUCCAGGAGGGAAGUUGGGGGAAGUGGAGGAAAGCGUCCAUAAUAGUGGGGAUGCAACCUACUCUGGCAAGGCAUCCCACAACGAUUCCCCGCUUUCUUCCGACUCCUGAAAAUGGACUCAUCUAUCAUACGGACGAGAUGGAUUUCAAUGCACUGCCACCGGAAGUACCUCUGAGAUGAGAAGACUGAUCUGAUGAAUAUCACCGAGAGCUAGUUGAACAGUCUGGGUAACAGAAGCAUGGCACACACUUCUCUGUACAACUUGUUAUAGUACCAAUACAGCAUAAAGGUCUGGGAAAGAGGAAGCUGCCAUGAUCCUUAAAGUCUCCAGCAAGGUGCUAAAGAACCUCAAGCCAUUUUCCUGGGAUCCAUUUAGUUAGCCUGCAUUUGUAGACGGAUUCCUCAGUGCUCUGGAAAACUGGUUUCUAAACUGGAAGGAUUGGACAGUUUAUUUCAUGGAAAAUACCAAAGAAAUUUCUGGCAGAUGAUGUCAUCUGUUAUAUUGGAAGAUGAGCUGGCAAAUGAAUCCUAACCUCAUUAGAUCCUGUAGUAGUCUACAAAAGUUACUACUUUGUGUGUCUGCUGAAAUAAAUUGUUUGCUUCAAAUGUAUGCUAUAGCUAAUCUCCUAGCCUUUACGGUCUGCAACAAUUUUCAUCAUGUCUGCUGUAAUACAAAAUGAAUUGACAAAAGCAAGUGCUACUUUGUUUAUGUACAAUUGCAGAACGUUAAGGAAAAAGUCUAUAUAUAAUCCUGUCAUUAUCCAUGAAAUCUAUAAUGCACAUUAAAUUUUGAUUUUGAUCCUGACAGAUCCUGACAAGUUGUAAUACAUUUCAGUUUUGAAGGUGACAUAUAGCCAAAUAAUGAGAGGAAAUUAAAGGAAGACUAUUUAUCUUUUCAUUUGUGUGUUGCUUUUGAGAAAGGAACAAAGAGUCACUUUUGGAGGCAUUUAAAUUCAGCCUAUACAGAAAGCAAUAUAAGAAUUUGUGUUAAGGCAUUAACUACUAUUGUAGGCAUUCUAACAGAGUCUUACGACCCUGUUAUCCAUAGAUGUUGAAGCCUUACACUAUGUCAACUUGAAGAGACACCUAUAAGUUUUACACACACACACACACACACACACACACACACACACACACACACACUUCUAGCAAUCAUGCAAAAUUACAUUUUAGUUACUAGAUAGAUGGGCCUGAGAACAAUCAAGCCUGAACUAUCAGUGGAAGCCAGAAUGACUAAAUCGAGGCUAUCAUAUUUUGGACCCAUCAAUGGUGGCAUGACUCAUUGGAAAAGAUUAUAAUUUCCUCAGUAAAGUGAAAAACACUGUGAACAGAGGAAGACAGUAUCUUAGGUAGAUUGAUUUGAUCGAGGAAACACAGCCCUGAAUUUUCAAGGCCUGAGCAGAGCUGUUAAUAACAAGGGCUCUUUGAGUUCUCUACUUUUUGUUACCAUAAUUCAAAGCUAACGUAAUGGAAAAACAACAAGAACAAUGUUUAUAACAGACCCAUUUCUUAAGAAAGUUUAAUCUACAAGUAAUUUGAAAGAAUUCUAAUUUCAAAAUUCUGAUUAGUGAGCAUAACCUUGAUUGCUUGUAAUCAUUCUUUGUGGAAAGCAUAAGAUGCAAGCUUCCCUCCAUUUGGCAUCCUCCAAAUAUUGUUGUGUACCAUCAGCUUUAGCAAGCAUGGCAGUAGAAAGGGAUAGUGAAAGUUGUAGUCAAAAUAUUUGGAGGGCACCAGCUGUUUCAUGGGACACUUUCUUGGCACUGUCUGUAAUUUAUUAUGACCACUUGCUCAUGUUUUGCUGUUGUGUGUGUGUGCGGGGGGGGGGGGGGGGAGGUGUUAGGAUGGUAAGUAAUCUGCAUGAGUUUUUGUAUCUUUAUACAAUUGCUUUAGUGUGUGUAGCCCUUGUCCGGAGGUCAAUACACGUAAGAGCUUUGAUGUGCUGCAAUAGGACCAAGAGCAAGUCCAGCAUCCUGGUAUCAGAAUUAUAUAGGCAGAGUUAUGCAUGUAUGCAUGCAUGUAUGUGUGUAUUUAUUUAGAAAAUGUUUAGCCCACUCCUUAACUAUAAGAAAAAGGCACUCAGACGUACAAUGUACACAAAACCAAUAGCACUAUGUAACACAAUUUUUGUUCCUGGGUUAUAAAUGUCAUUUCCUAAUUAGUUAUAUCAUAAAAACUUGGAAAAGGUCUAUUAAACUGCAAAAACUUUGUUAUGGUCUGUGCAUUGAAAGGUUUAAAAUGUCAUAUUUACAUUAAGGAACAUGACAAAGGUAGUGCCCUAAACUGAAGGAAAUAAUAGUACUACUCUUACCCACAAAAACAAAGUUUCUGGAAUAUAAGAACUAUUUUCAAAAUAAACAGUUAAACAGGAAAUAACACUUUCAAACCAGGAACAGAAUUAUUUUUCAAAUUUGGUUACAUAGUGUAAUUAUUACAUAAAUAAUUAUUACAUAAGUCACGAUGUUGCUAUGUCUUGCUGGCUGCCUCCCUCCCACUCAGCGGAAUUGCAGUUAAUGGCAAUGGGAGGGUUUGACUUUUAAUUGUGGACACUGCAUUGUGAGUUUUCCAGAUACAGUAUUCAUUGGCUGGAGCAAAUGCAAGAGGUUUGUGCUACUUAAGCAGGACACAACAUAUUUGGUUAUAUUGAUGGGUACUGGUCACAUUGAUAUCUUUUCAAGACCUCAGUGUCUUACAUAAAAGCUAAUAGGGGCACCACUGAAAUGAAAUGGGACUACCCCUCCUUCCCCACACCUUUCCCUAUGAAAACUGCUUGAAAGGAAUCAAUUAACAAAUUAAAAAAUGUUUGACAGUUUAACCUACGAGUGCCAUUUAAUUAUUUUCUAAGCAAAGUUACAUAAUCAUAGGAAAAAUAGGACAGCCGUUUUCUUUUCCCAUUUGAUUCAAUUGAUACGUGGGAAGAACUGUUCCCUCCAUACUUUCCUUCCUUUGUUGUUGCUAAUUAAUGUGUAAUGCUUUUUAAAGUGUCAACUACAGGCACAUAUAUUACAAUAGAACUUAGGAACAAAAGAUCUUUUUGUGGGAAUGGCUGUCGGUAAAUCAACUGCUUCUUUUCAACUAUAUUCUCAUAGGUACCUCCAGAUCUAACAUGCUUUCCUGAUUAAACAGUUGGUCCUCCAUAUCCGCAGGUUGUACAUCUACAGAAUCAAACAUCUGCAGCUCAAAAAUAUUCAAGAAAAAAAUCCAAAAAUGCAAACACUGAGGUGUAGACAUACUCCGCUGUUUGAUUUGUUCACCAUUUUAUAUAGGGGGCGUCAUUUUACUAUGUCAUUGUAUAGAAUGAAUUUUGAUAUCCAUGGGGAAUCUUGGAACCAACUCACAAAGAAUACAGAGGACCCACUGUAUUAAUUCCUCUCUUAUGCUAUAAAGGUUAACUCAGGAGCUUGUGUCUACAGCAGGGGUGUCAGACUCAUUUUCACUGAGGGCCACAUCAGUCUUGUGGUGGCCUUCAAAGGGCCAUUGCAUCCAUGGACAGAGAAUCCAUGGAUAUAGAGGGCCAGCUAUAUUUUUCACCAUAGUGGUUGGGAAUCUUUAGUUUUUACCCAGUUUAGGUCCUCAGAUAUUAUUGAACGACAAUACCCAUUACUUUUGAUUAUCCGCCAUGCAGACUGGGGAUCAUGGGAAUUGCACCCCAACAGCAUUCGUAGCUGCGGUUUCGGAAUGGUUAAAGGUCAUUUUGAAGUUAAGCAUCAUAUCCACAAGCUUUCUAUCUAAAUUCAGACCCCACUCUCUUGAAUAAAUAGAAUAAACUGAUGCCUUCCAGACUCUUAAAACUCCCAACAGCUCUAGUCAUGAUGUCUAAUGAUAAGGAAUACAGGAGUUAUAAUCCAGCAUUUGGAGGGCCACAUAAAAGAACAUGGUGGACCAGAUUCAGUUCGCAGGCCUUGAGUUUGUCAAGUAUAGUCUACAGUAAACAACCUUGCGGCUGCUCACAUCUUAUUUAGGGCCAAUGUAUCUGAGUUUAUCAAAUAUCUGGGCCUUGAGAGACGUUAGUUGCAUCCCCAUAGCCUUGCUUAGCCAUAAAUGUCAUAUCUGCCUCUAACUUCAAUGAGAUGAUGCAGUCCCAUAGGUGAGGGCAAGAGCACUCUUAGUUGGCAGCAUUCCCACUAAGGGAUGACCUCAUCUGAACAUUUGUGUCACUUGGCGGUAUUUUAAUGCACUGUAUACUUGAGUCAUUGGCAUCUAAUGCUUCAGAAACAUAGGGACAUUAAUGACAAUGCACUGAAAUAAUGUAAUACUUGCAGUACAAGAUGGGAAAGGUCAACAGACAUCAAGGAAAUGGAAAAUAGAGCAAUUCUGGUCACUAGUACUUAAAAUUUCUUCUGAUAAAUACUUGAAUAAAAUACCUAUUUAACAAGAAUGGGGAAAAUGGCAAUGUAGUCAUCAAAUAUGCUUAAUUUUUUAAUAAACCAUUCAGUAAUUUGGUUGAAUUUGUGUAAAAGUUUGCAAGAUCUGAGUAGGACUGAUAGCAUAAUUGGGUCUCUGGGAGGUCUCUCCACUCACAGGGUCAACAUGGGUCAAAGCUGAUCUGAUUGCUUAUAACAAAAUGUUUAAUCCUAUAUAAUAUUUGUUAAUGUGGAAAGUUGAAAGGUGGAAUCCAUUUAACAGGUGGUUUAUGGAGUAAGCUCUAAACAUCCUAUGGCUUAUCCAUUUUUAAAUACUACACAUGUCAGGGUAGUGAUUUGACUAAAUUACCGAGGCCAGUAUUUAGUGUUCUCUUUCUUUUUGUUAUUUGUAAGUAUAUUGCAUGGUGUUUUCUUAAUGUUCAAUCACCAGUCAUCACCAGCCAAUGCCAAAAAUACAGCUUAAUGGUGUAGCAUUAGAAAAUAUUGACCAUUUCUGCUACCUUGGCAGCCGCCUCUCCACAAAAGUCAACAUUGACACUGAAAUACAACACCGCCUGAGCUCUGUGAGUGCAGCAUUUCUCCAAAUGAAGCAGAGAGUGUUUGAGGACCGGGACAUCAAGGUGCAUGUUUAUAAAGCUAUUGUCCUCCCAACCCUGUUAUAUGCCUACAAAACAUGGACUUUCUACAGACGUCACACUCAACUCCUGGAACAAUUCCAUCAGCAUUGCCUCUGAAAAAUCCUGCAGAUAUCUUGGGAAGACAAGCAGACAAAUGUCAGUGUGCUGAAAGAAGCAAAGACCACCAGCAUUGAUGUGAUGCUCCUACGUCAUCAACUCCGUUGGAUUGGCCACGUUAUCCGAAUGCCCGAUCACCGUCUCAUGAAGUUGUUACUCUACUCCCAACUCAAGAAAACAGAAUGUUGGUGGACAGGAAAAGAGAUUUAAAGAAGGGCUUAAAGUUAAGCUUAAAAACUGUGGCAUAGACACCGAAAACUGGGAAGUCCUGGCCCUUGAGUGCUCUAACUGGAGGUUUUCUGUGUUACCAACAGUGCUGUGGAAUUCAAAGAGGCUCGAAUGGGGGGCAAAAGGGAGAAACAUGCCAAGAGGAAGGCACAUUAAGCCAACACUGACCAGGACCACCUUCCACCUGGAAACCGAUGUCCUCACUGUGAAAGAACAUGUGAGUCAAGAAUAGGGCUCCACCAUCACCUAUGUAUCCACUGCUAAGACACUACACUUGGAAGGCCAUCAUACUCGGACAACGAGGGAUCGCCUAAGUAAGGCAUAGUGUUUUAUCUGGAGCUUUACUGAACCAUUCUGUCUCUGUCUCUUUCUCUCUCUUUUCUCUCGCAUACACUUUACAUGUACACUGAAUCAGUCUUCUUUUGGUUCUGUAUUGAUUGAAAGGCAAAUUUUCCUUUUGUAGCUCUGUCUAAAUGCCAUGUAGAGAGGCUUCUGCUCCUAGUUGCUGGAGAAAUUAACAUUUAAGCAAAGAUGAAAGCCAACAACCAAAAGGGAAAAGAGACAUGACAUAUAAAAGGGGAAGAAAGGGUUAUGCCCACAUCAUGAUUUCACUUUAUUAGCCACAUCACAAAUGGAAUUGGACCCAGCUUGUUUUGACUGAGUAGCCUUGCGUAGGCAACAUUGCUGCCUUUGAACAGGGUUUCAUAUUUGCAUGAAAUGCUUCCCCGCUCUUCAUAUUCCAAUGAAUUAUUAAAGAUUUGGCUUCAAUCAAACAGAUGUGUGUGCACACACACGCGCAUUAUAUAAUAACCACAUAUCUUGCAAGCUUCUGGAAACUGAAGAAGAUAAGAAAUCACCUCCUGAAUCCUAAGGAGUCAUUUGCAUCAAUAAAAACAGCAAAGCAUCUCAGGGCACCUUAGAGACUACAUUAGUUUAUAAAGAUACAAGCCUUUGUGAAGGGGGUCCAACUCACAAAUAUUUAAUCAUAAAUAAUAUAAUUGCUUCAGUUAUUCUUAAUUAUUUUGCCAUAAAAAGACUUGAUAUACUUGGGAAUGUCACCAGACUUUUUGUUUGCUGCCACAGACUACCAGGGAAGCAUGGCUUUUAAUUCUGUUUUUAUUGAUGUUGUGAAAUAUGUUUUAAUGGUCUUUUAUUGUUAUUUGUUUUUUUACAAUUGAAUGUUUUACAUUUUAUCUGUAUGGUUUAAUUUACUGUUUAUUUUUCUAGCAUUGAAUGUUUGCCUUUUAUGUUGUAAGACGCCUUGAGUCCCCAUGGGGAGAUGGGAUAGGAUAUAAAUAAAGUUUGAUUGAUGAACCGAUGGAUGUAUGAAUCACAGAAACCCAUGGGGAGAGUAAGCUGGAAUGGAUAGCUACAAGAAGUGCCCAACUGUGAUUCUGUCUACUACUUCUAUGGGGAGUUACACAUCAUAGGCGUUUGUUUCCAUCCAUUCUCAAGGAGGUGCCAAGACAAAAGAUCAUGUGAAGUGGCUCUUUUGAUCCAGUGCUUAACAAUAAACAUACGUUUCACCAGCACUGUUAUCUGAGGUAGGAUUAUCCUCAGAAUUGGACUCUUUAUACUCGGAUAAACCAAAUAGCUUCGGGUAAUUUGGGGACCCAUGUGUAGCUACAGGCUAAGUUGGUAAAGCAUUGAUUUUUUCUCCCUUUUAUUUUUUCUGGGCAAGGCCUUCCCUUCUGGGGAUGAUGACGGUAUGUUCUUCCAAGCGUUGUCUAGGUCACCCUUGCAGCUGGGAGUUUCAUUUGGUACAUACAUCAGAGCUAGGUCGCAUGACAGUCUCUGAUAUGGUCUUACACCCUCCCAAAAAGAGACCAAAAUAAUGUAUUUUCUGAAAUAGGGUUCUGCUGCUGGUGAUUGAUUGCCGAGGAUAAACAUGGGCACUGUCCUAAGGAUAUAUACUAACAUUGGUAGCAAAAGAGCAUUAUAAAAACAUGAGCUCCUAGGAAGCUAAAUGUAGAACUAAGAUGAGAAAGAAAGCAAGUUGCUCAAGGCUGAUUUGUGGGAUAGAACUGGGAGCCUAGAGUGGAGUGGGAAGAAAGAUGAGUGGAUGAUGGUCUUGUUGUUGGAUGCUUUUCUCAUCGGUUAGCAGAUACAUGGUAGAAUACUGAAUUCCCCUCUUCUCUGCUGCCCUCCACAGGUUCAGUGAUAUCAGUGGACAUAGCCCCAGCAAGCAAUAACUAACACUGGGCCCUCAGGUGGCUAAGAGCCAGGUUUGCUGUGUGUCCCCCUGUAUGCUGUCAGCUGGGGCAUGUCAGUAGAGUCUCUACCUCAGGUCUCAGCCCAUUCCUUAUACAUGGCCACUGAAAGUGAUUAAUUUUGCCUCCCCUCUUUCUUCCACGAAUAGGAAUUACCUAAACUCAAGUGCCUACAAAUACGAGUUAGAAUGGCCAUCUUGAUACACUGCUCUACUUCACAACAGAGUGCUCCUGUACUCAUUUUUUUUUUGACAUCUCAGACUCAUCUCUUCCACCCCUAUUCAGCUUGUAGGAGAUAGGGGGAGGGAGUGGUCUGCAGGGGCAGAAUGAGAAUUAGAAGUAACAUGGAGCAUAUACAGUUGUACUGUAAUUCCAUUUCCAGGAUCUUUUGAAAUGUGAUCCUGGAUGCCUGAUCCUCACCUUUUAAAAGGAAAGUUUUGGCUUAGGGCGCUUCCUGUUAGGGAUUCCUCUUCUUCAGAAGAGGAAGGGGAGCAGGAAAGUGUUUAUGAAUCUAAGGGUGAGUUGGAAUCUGAGGAGGAGAUUUUGCAAGUACCCACAUUUCAGGAGAGGCAAAAGGAAACAGAGCAGAGACGUCGUUCAGCUAGAAUAGCUGCCAGAAAUGCAGCUGAGUAAUUGGGAACUGCCCUAGCAGCUAUGAGGGGACUCAGGGCUAUAAAGCAGAAGCAGGUGCAGCCAGCGCUUGCUAGUAACAAACUGACUCUUCGCUCCCCUUGUGCCUGCUUCAAGUCUGCAUCUGGGAAACUGCUCCUAAAGAUUUAUUGCUGUUUCUUUGUCUGAAGUAAGACUGCUAUUUGAUUUGGGAAUUUAACAGAAACUAAGAACUGUGUUUACCCUAAGACUUCCUUGCUUCCUUUUUCAUUAUUACUCUGAGUGUGCUGUACUCUACAUUUUGCUGAAGUAAAGCAGUUUUCACUUACCACAGUGUUUUAAAGCUGUUCUUGAAAGACAAAACAGGACACUUCCAGACAGCACGAAAAUGCUGGUUUUGAAUGGAAGACAAAAAAUUCCAGGACCAGAGAGCAGGUCCCUACACAGACCUAUUAAUUCUGGGAUUUCUUCCCCCACCGUCCUCACAAGUUUCCCUUGUAUCAUAACAAGAUGGAGGGAGGAUGGAAGAACAUCCAGCAGAAGGGGUUUUUUUAAUCACUCCAUUUUGCACUUGACUGUAUAUGCACACAUGCAAAUAUCUUAAUAGAAAUUUAAGCAGAUUCGCAUGUGCGCAUAUGAGGUUCAACACAUAACUGAGUGAUGUUUUUAAAAACUUCCACCGGAUUUCUCCCCUCCCCCAAUUGUUUAUUCAAGCUCUGUUUAAUAAUAUAAAGAGUUUCAGAGAGUUCUAAUUGCUCUCCAUUCGUGCUUCCUUUAAAUCAGCUGUGUGUUUAUUUCACAGCCCAAUCAGAUGAUCAGCUGUUUCGGGCUUUUUAAAAGCGCCAGUGCACUGGGGCAGUCUCCAUGGGGGGAAGGAAGGAAAUCACAUGUUUUUCACAAGUGCAGGGAUAUACAGUGAUGUGAAUAUGGGCAUUUUCUGGCCAGAUUUGGGAUAAAAGGGGACAUCUUUACCCUGUGUUUUUUGUCCGACGCAGCAAAUCAGUGCGGAUUUAUUGCUAGCAUCAUGUAGCCCUUUUUAACUUGGUAACUUCCAUAUUUUAAGUGCUGUGUAGAUGGGCCCACAGAGAACGUUUUGCUCACCCCAUUGAUAUCUACAGACUGUGGAAGGACAAUCUUUCAUUCUCAACUGCAAUUCUGAUAAAAAUCAUAUGAUUUGAAUCCUGGAAGCAGAUGUUGCAUUGAAUCAAGGUUUAUGCAGGGAUCACUGCAACUUCCUGAAUUGUUCAUCAUUGGUUGAGUAAGCUAAGGCAGUUGGGAUUUGCAUUUCAACAAGUUCUGCAGUGCCAUAGGAUUCCCACCCCUGGAAUAGGUGGAGAUUAUCCUGGGUCCUCCUUAGAAUUUUAAGAAAGUGCCCCCCUAAAUCCCAUUCUGCUACAAAGCAGGAAUUGUUUUCUUGUCACAAAUAGAAAAAUAAACAAAUUUCAUAAUCUUCAUCCCCAACCCGUCCUCAUUGUUGUCUUUAAUCAGUCUGGUCUUUUGCAUUCCAGCACUUACAAUACUAUUCAUAAUUUCCCUCAAAAAAAAAAAACAUAGUCAACAAGGACCUAUUUAAAGGUUCUAAAACCUUGUAAAGAGUGUAAACAAAAGUCUAGCCAUAACUAUUACCUGCUAUCUGCUUCUAGGAUUUGGGAGUUGUAAAUAGCCGGAGAGCUCACCACGUUUUUAAUUAAAAAAACCUACCAUUUUUUUCAUAUCUGAAAAAAAAUUACAGCCAACAAAUAGUGUUUCUCGUUUUGCUGCUCCCUGUGUUCUAUAUGAUACGACUGAACUUGAGCCCAUGCUCCCGGUUCCUUAUUCUUCCUUCUGAGCUAUUUUUGUGGCACAAACAUGGAUGAUCAGCUGGAACAAGGAAUUGAAGGUUCAGUUUCCCCAGUCCAGUAUGGCCCCGGUAUCAGUGGGGGAUAUGUUCCCGGACUUUGUGUGGAUAUGCAAAACUGCAGAAAAUAACAAACCCUAUUAAAACGAAGGCUUUCUGGCCCAAGAACGCCAUAGAAUUGUGCUGGGGGACCUAAAAAAUGCCUAGCGGGGAUAUAUUUGUUGAACUUGUGCAAGUCUCAUGGACUCAAGGGUUGGACAAUAUUACCUAAGAUUUAAGAUUGGUUGGGGAAACUUCCUCCAUGGUGAUAUCCUGGAUGUGGAACACCUCUCUGCCAAACAUUAAGAGUUUUUUCCUUACCUUGUUUUCAGGGUCUACCCAAGUGUUUUAUUUGUUUUGUAUUUCCACCGUUAUUUGUUUGGUUUUAUUGUAUUUUAUUAGAUAAUUUGAAGGAGAAAAAAAAACAGAAUUUUAAAUGUGUUAUUAGAAAGCCUGGAAGCUACCUUGGGCUUCUAUGAAGUAAGGGAGAUUAUAAAUUCUGUACAAUUGAUGAUGAUAUGUGCCUUUGCAUAAGAAUGGAGAAUUGGAUCAUUGUUCUUUAGGCAGUUUAAAGGAAUAAAUGUCAUGUGAUAUGGCAAGAGCAUAGCGUAACUUGGGCUCAAACUCACAUGAACAUUUUAAAAAUAAUAACUGAAAAGUAAUUUGGAGUGGGAAUAGGCUUCUGUUAUACCAUUCCUGUCUACCAUUAGAGCUGGCUUGUUCUAAUGAGUUUAUAUGCAAUUUGCAGACCAUGCAUUCACCCUGGCUAUCUCAUUAUCUAUAUUGUCACCAGUUGUUGCUCCAUUAUAACACGUGCAUUUUUAUUAAAAACUGAAAACCCUAAACACUGGCAGUGUUCUGUCCUACACUGUUGUUGGGCUUCAUUAAACUAACAACUUGCCUUUUAAAAAUCACAAAUACUUUAAGUUUUCUUAUUUCCCGUGAGAAGUCUAAAUCUUUUCAGCCACCACAUUCAAAUGAUAAAAACACUGCUUGCAGUUCCACAUAUAAUUUUCAUUUUGGGAUGGUGUUGUUUUGAAAUCACUUAUAAUGAGACACCAUAGCAAGGAGUGGAAAAGGAUCCAUUGAAAUCUUCUUGUUGCCAGGGGAGAAGUCUUGUUUAUGACUUAUAUCCUUAUUCAGAGCUGUCUUUUUUUGGUAUCUUGGUUUUUAGGCCCGUCCUUGAGGUUAUUUGAGGUGCUGAUUCAGAAAAAUGGCAUUGGAUGAACUGCAUCAACUCUAGCUUCUUAAAUGUGGUUGUCACUAUUUUCUGUGGGUGAACAGAUGGCGACCAAUAGAUGGUAAAUGUUCUGUAUCUUAAAAGCUAGAGCCGAUAGGGAGAAACUGGUGCCAUUUUUGGAAUCAGAAGAUCAAAUAUAGACCUGCAAAUGUGGAAGGUCAACUACAUGAUAUGCUUGUGUCAUAUGCAAAGAGAAAGGUAGGGUUUAAAUUGACUCCAUAAGGUAUUAAGUAUGCAAAAAAUAUAUAUCAGCAGUUCAUGUUUUGGCUUUCUUUAUUUCAAUAUGAAUAAUAUGGCUUUUCAUUUUUUUUUCUCU